GCAGUGGUGGUUCAGUGUUAGAAUUCUCACCUUCCAUGUGGAGGACCUGGGUUUGAUUCCCAGUCAGUGAA
rnacentral:tRNA from 1 species